CCUUAUUGUGACAAAGGGUUUUAUCAGACAAUGAUGUAAAAUAGAAGUUCCCUCUACGCCUAUGGUUUAAAGCAUGCAGCUACUACACGAAGGACAAGAAUCUUUAAAAAUGAGUCUUCCGAAAAAAAAAAAAAAACAUUGAGUCUUCUCCCAUAAAGCAGGACAAAGGCGUGAAUGGCGCUGGAAUCACUAAAAUGGACACAUUAAAAAUCAAGGACAGCACGCGGGUCUCUAAGGAAGACUGUCCCGUCCCGUCCCGCCCGGCGGCACCUGCUUCACCGGGACUCCCCUGGGUCACCUGCGGGGAGGCAGCAGGGCGAGCUAGGGGGCGCAGUUGCUCAACACAUUUUCCCGUCCCUGCCAACUUUCCUGGGGCGCACGGUGGCACGAGGUCGCGACGGCUAAGUCGUCCUUCGGGUGAAGCCGCCGCUCUCCGCCCGCCGAGGAAGAGAAGUUAAACUUCGAGAGAGACCUAAUGGACAAUCUCCACAACAGGAUACAAUUGUAGGACAUGUGAGAUGAGCAUGACCCAACCAAGUCUUCACACUGAAAGAUUUACAGUAUGAGGAACUGAAACAAGAUGGCGGAACGUUGCCUUGUGUGAGCUUAGCUAGAAACACACACAUCAGAUGACUCAAAUUUUUUGCCACUCGGCCCACUGCCACUGUGGCUGCAGAAGCACAGUGAGUAUUUAUUUGGGGAUUGCAAAUACAUUUUAGCAAGUUAGAUGAAUUAAAACAAAGAUGGAAUCCACAAAUAACAGGGAUCAAUUAGACUCAUAAAGCAAGUAGAUUAACACCAGGUACCUAGGAAGCUUUGUGUGAGUUUGAUACUUUUAUCAUCAUCAUCAUCAUCAUCAUUAUUAUAUGUUAUUAAAUAUCCUGAGGGCAUUGGGCACCUUUGAAAAGUUUUAUAGGCAGGGAGAGUGCUAUGAUUCAGAUUUGUGUCCUGAAAACAUCACAUGACUUCCGUGUGGCAAAGGUAUCAGGUGGAUGCAGGUGACGGGAGGAUGAUGUCGAGGGACGGGGCAGUGGCAGUGGACAUGGAGAAAAGGGUGGCGCUAAGAGAGACCGUGUAAGAGGUAGCAUUUCUGCCUUCAUGUUGCAUUCCCCCUGGAAUGUGGUUCAGAACUCCACCAGCGCUAUUAUCUGCUCACCUUUGCCCACAAGCCUUCUUAAUCUUCCCAAGAUUACUCAGGAGCUCCUUAUGUAACACUGGGUGACGCAUCUUUUUUUUUUCUUUUUUAAAUUUAAAUUCAAUUAAUUAGCAUAUAGUAUAUUAUUAGUUUCAGAGGUAGAGGUCAUUGAUUCAUCAGCCUUAUAUAACACCCAGUGCUCAUUACAUCACUUGCCCUCCAUAAUGCCCAUCACCCAGUUGCCCCAUCCCCCAACCCGCCUCCAGUGUAGGUGACGCAUUGCAAUCAUGUUAACACUAGACUAGUCAUCAGCUCGUAGUUGUUUAUACAUUUUUCCCUUGCCAGACUGUAAACUCUUGCUGGAUCCCUAGAAUCGAAUUCAGUCCUUGGCACGUAACAUGUGCUCAGAGAAUGUAUGUUGCAUGAGUGGGUGGUGAGCCCUUUCUUCUGUCUCUUUGUGUCCUGAUAACUAGCAGAGUGUGUUGCCCCCAGUUGGGUGAUGAGGAGUAACUAAAGCCUUAGAAUCAUGUUCAGUCUUUUCAAGUGCACAAACAGUUUUUCCGAUACUUCAGAGAAACACUGGGGAUUCGAUUCUGCAUAUGUAGUGGUCAUCUGAAGUGUGAGACCAUCUGGGUUUUUUUUGUUGUUGUUGUUCCCUGAGCAGUUCAUGCUUCCAGCCUCGAGUCCUGAGCACGUUUAUAAAAUGAAGUUAUGGAGUGGAAUGUUCUCGAAGAUUCUCUAUGGUUUGGGCACUCUAGGAUACUGGGACUUACCCAGAACUCGUUGACUCCAAGCCUCUAGCCCUGAGCUCUUCUUACUUUUAAAGCUCAUUAUUUGUAGCCUUUUAAGGCCCUGUGGUAUAAACUUCAAUCCACAUCACCUCCUUUGGGGCUUCCUCAUCAUUCCAGAACUUAGCUUUUUCUAAAUACUUCAGGUUUCUUCCAGACUUCUCUCCACUCCCAGAUAAAGAAAGCUAUUUACCAAACAGGAGGCGUACUGUGUGUUGGAGAUGCACCCUGAUUCCUAUGCGGUUCCAGGGAGGAUUCGGUCAGAACAUCAAUUAUUUCUAUUCAGUGUCUAAAAACAAAUAGCACCCAUGGUUCAAGAAUAUUCUCAGGGACAACGACCAUGAACUUGAGAGCAGUCAACUUUUAAGAUCCUCCUACUUGCCAGAUUCACUCUGCCAGGCCUAUCACAUGUUUAAAUCAUGUGAUCUCACUGGGAACCCCGCAGGAUUGCAUGUUACUAUGCUCCCCAUCUGGUGAUUGGCAAAACAGAAGGUAAAUGGCUCACUGGCUCACUGGAGAUCACCGGCUUUGAAGAGGCCAAUCCAGAGUUUGACUCCAGAGCCCAUUCCCAUAAUUACAACACUGGACCGUCUUCGAUGCACUGGAUUUUCAAGUUCCUCCUCCUCUUCUCCUAGACCCCCUAUGUGAUUUUGUACAUGUUCUUUGACCCAUCCUUCUGGUAACGUGGCCAGAAAAAUGAAAGUGGUCAUGUGCUAAUGCCAAGGAUGUUUAUGUUUCUAAGCAGAUACCUGCUAACGGGUGGGUGAUGCCAAGCUUCCUAUAUGGCUUGAACCAAAGUCACUCUAUCAGCCAACAAACUGAGUUGGGUUUUGUCAGAUGAUACUGUUACCAAGUUGGUCAAGAGUAUGAAGAAGGGGGCCCACUAAUCACACACGAAAAGGAGAACUGCACGUGUUAAAUAAAAACAUACCAUCUUCAGGUCUUUAAAAUAUUCUCAAAUGAACUAUAUCUCUAUUGUGUGAGGAUGCUCCAGAAUGCACUUGUUCAAAUUCUUGGAAAGUGAAAGCCAUUCAGAAGAUCAUGGUUUACCACUCCCCACCCCCCGCAUCUUCAGUUGGGUCUGAGUCUUGGUGCCAUGGCGAUUAUCCAUGAACAGCAUGCUUGGUUUGGUUUUCAAUGGCACCUUCUCUUGGCUCAUCAGCAAACAAGAUUCUACUCAAGUAGCAGAAUUGGGGGGAAACAUCUAAUUCCACGUGACUGAUGAAGAUCAGUUGAGAUGUAUAUAUGGUCUCAGUCACUUUCUCCUCAGAGCUGUCUGGGAAAAUCUGCAUGACUUCUUCAACAUAUAUUUCAAAAGCAUGUUGAUAAGCACAUGGGGAUAUCUGGAUUACCAACGCUAGGAGUUUUAGAUAUUUGUAUUAAGCUGUUGAUGUGGAGCCUCACUGAAGCUUUUAGGGUCAUAUUAAAAACAAGCCUCCUGACACCAUAGUAACAAUGGGGAAAAGGAUCAAUAUGCCCCAUGCCUAUACUAAUAAUAGGGAACAACUUCCUUAUUUUCCCAGCCAUAAGAAGCAUCUAUAAGCUUAUUUAUUAACCGCCGUCACCCACACUCAUCAAUGAUGUUGAGUAUUUUCAUGAGAUUACUAAAUACAGUAUGAAGGUCUUUAUGGCCCUAUAGCAUCUGCAGUGGCAGUUUUAGAAUACCUGUAAAUAAAAUAAAAUAAAAAGAAUACCUGUAAAUAGAUAUAGGCAGCGUUUAAGAGCUUCGAGGGGAAGAUAGGAGACUUGUAAGGACAUUACAUUGUACAGGAGACAGACUGAUUUGUGGUGAGAAAGGAAAGAGAACUUGAUGGAGAUGAUGGAGGAGCUUAAGUCCCUUCCCCAACCACCAUUGACGUCCCCAGUGCCCACCCUGUGUCAGACAUGCAACAAGCAACAACAUGUGCAUUAGAGAAUAUCAGGGUUUUUUUUUUUAAGAUUUUAUUUAUUGAUUCGUG
rnacentral:lncRNA from 1 species